rnacentral:misc_RNA from 1 species
GUAGAGAGUACGAGGGGCUGCCAAAGAAAGACAUUAAAUGACUCGAGGUCCAAUAAAUUACAAGAUUCGAACCAGAAUCGAUCGAAUCAAUGGAACACAUGAUAAAGGCAGCAAGGAACAACCUCCAUCUUUCUUUCCGUUGGGAAGAACAAAAGGGCAACAGAAGCAGUAACCAAUUGCUAUCUGCUGCCACACACAGAUUGAGCAAACCUGUUUACCCAACCAUCCUCAGAGCAUGAGAAUCAAAAUAAAACCACAUACAUUAGGUAUCAAGGUGCAUUAUCCGGAGUUGUCUGUCGCAGUAUGCGCUCGUGGUGCCUCAAUGGGCCUGAUCCAUCAUCUGCCGAGUCAUUCUCAUCAUCUCUGGAAGAUGAACCUAUUUCUCCGUCAUAACUCUCACCCCACAGUCUGGUUGUUCUCCUCCUAAAACUUGGUUGGCCUCUAGCUCUAGAUACACUAGACCAACUGCUGCUCCUUCUACUAGAUUCAGGUCUAAAAACUCGAAUAAGGAAAAAAACUGUGAGCCAACCCCCAUCAUCAAUGGGUAAAAUACUAUCAUCAACCCUUUCCUCUCCAAAUGAUGAUUGUAGUGUGCUCAGAAGGUCUCCCAGGUCCCUUUGUCGCUCAAGUCGUCUCCAAUUAUGCUGCCGUUCAGGGUCUACUUCUGAUGGGCGCACAAGGGGAUGCUCCUUCCUAGCAUGCUUUCUAAGAUCUGUAUAGGUUCCACUGAAGCUACAUGUCUCACAGGAACAACUUCUUGAUUUUGCAUUCAUGAACUGACGAGCAUGCUCAUCAACAAUCCACUUUUUUAUCUUCCCUCGGCAUAAAGGGCAUACCAGCUUUGGCUGCAUCUGAUUCUCACAAGAUGAAGGGUGCACAGCAAGUUCAAUCCUCUCACUUUGUCCAUCUGGUGUAUCAUCAACCACAGGCUCAGAUUCCAUUGUUGGGGAAGAGUUUACCGUCAGGAACUCCACAUCUUCCUGCACUGGUAUUACUGUUGAAGUCUCUGAAAACAACUUGCAGAAUUGAUCAAGGCAAU